CUCUGCCACUUUAAGGGCCUGGAGCUGGCAGCCUCCAGGUGCCUGAUUAGGGCAGCCAUUUUGAGGCUUAGGCUGCUUAUAUAAACAAGGCAGUUUGGCUGCAGGAAGGGAGGCAGCAACAUUGUCUGGCUGUAGGGCUGGUGUGAACAACCCGGAGGCUGCUGCGCAGGAAUAGACCUUUGGUCACUGACAGAUCUUAACGCAGUGACAGGCCCGGAGAUGGCGAUGGGACCUGAAGGAGGUUCGGUGUCUGUGAUGUGCCACUAUAGGAAAGGCUAUGAAGAGUAUCCAAAAUUCUGGUGCAGAAACCACCUGGUAUCGUGCUUGGGCAACUACAUCAUAGAGACCAUAAGGCCAGAGGCUGAGGUGCGGCAGGACCGAUUCUCCAUCCAGGACAACCACACCCAGCGCACCAUCACGGUGACCGUGGAGAACCUCAUCAGGGCAGACACCGGCACCUACCUGUGUGGGAUUAGAAGGACACUGAGAGUUGAUCCCUCACCCUGUGAAACUGCUUGUGUCUCCAGCAGGUGGGGAGCAAUGAGGACAGCCUUGCCAGCCGUCUAUUCUGGACUGACGGAUGCACCUGGGACUGCUGUAAUGUGUUAAAGACUCGCUUCCUCCCAGGCUUCCUGUGUACAGCUCCACAGGCUGCAGCUUUCCAGAACCAAAGAUGAAGAGCCUUUUUCUGUCCGUCCUUGCCUGCCCCUGACACGCCCCUGUGCUAGGGAUGGAGGGGAGCCUAAGACCACCUAUGCCGUACCCGAGGUGGGGGAAUGUCCCCCCAGUGACUUCAGGGAUUUCAUGGUCCCUACACACCCUGGUAAUAAAGCUAUGCCUUGCAUCUACUGAUGCAUCUCAAAGAAGACCCAAGAAGUCAUCCUCCCGCUUUACUCGGCCACAGCUGGAGUAUUGCAUCCAAUUCUGGUCUCCACACUUUAGAAAGGAUGUGGAGAGGCUCGAGAGAGUCCAGAGAAGAGCCACGCACAUUAUUAGAGGUGAAGAGUACAGGCCUUAUGAGGAGAGGCUGAGAGGCAUGGGACUCCUCAGCCUGGAGAAGUGAAGGCUCAGGGGUGACUUGGUGGCAGCCUAUAACUAUACAAGGGGUGUGCAUCAGGAACUGGGGAGAGCUGGGAGAGCAUCUGUUCACCAGGGCACCCCAGGGGAAGACAAGGUCUAACAGUGACAAACUGCUGGAUGACUGUUUUAGACCGGACACACAGUCAUAUCUACUCUGGAUACCUUUAAGAAAUGCUUCUAUGCUUAUCUUGGGGGGUGACCUGACCCCAGCUGACUUCCUGCCCCUUGUGCACUAGGGCUGGACCCGACGAUCUCGCAAGAUCCCUUCCAAGUCUCAUGUCUUGCCAUCUAUGCAAUCUAUGGCAGCAGAGGACAAAAUCGUUUCCAGUUCUUAGGUUUGAACCUUGUUCUUAGAGAGGAGAACGUCUAGUGUCACUGAGAAAGUGGCUGUGCUUCAGCGUGGAGGGAAGCCACAUGUCUGUGGGAGGGCGAGCAUGGGCUGCAGCUCGGCAAGUAGCACCCAAGUGAAUCAGAGCCUGGGGUGAUAUCACAGUGAACUAAUAAUACUUAUAAGCCAGACAGCAGGCAGGUGUUCAAGCAUGGGGCAUCUUUUUAAUCUUACAGCUGGUAUGUAAAAGAGUUAUUUGAGGUUCUGGGGUGCAGCCGCGGGUGUUCACUUGUCCAAUCCAUCUGCAACACAAUUCACUGUGAUGUCAGCCUUUUGGGGUUCAUCCAUCAGAAGCGGGGACCCACCCGUGUUCCCAUCCCAGCUACAGCCCUGCUGGGUGAAUGUAAGAUUUGAUUCUUCACCCCUCAAUGACUCUUCCUUCCUCAC